UACAGAGGUCCCAAGCGUUGUUCGGAUUCAUUGGGCGUAAAGGGUGCGUAGGUGGCGCCGUAAGUGGGGUGUGAAAUUUCGGAGCUUAACUCCGAAACUGCAUUCCAUACUGCGGUGCUUGAGGACUGGAGAGGAGACUGGAAUUCAUGGUGUAGCAGUGAAAUGCGUAGAGAUCAUGAGGAAGACCAGUGGCGAAGGCGGGUCUCUGGUACGUGACUGACGCUGAGACGCGAAAGCGUGGGGAGCGAACAGG
rnacentral:rRNA from 1 species